GGUUCGAUCAUGGCUCAGACUGAACGCUUAGGCGAUGUCUUACACAUGCAAGUCGAACGGCAGCACGGACUUCGGUCUGGUGGCGAGUGGCGAACGGGGAAGAGUAAUGUAUCGAACGUGCCCAGUAGCGGGGAUAACUACGCGAAAGCGUAGCUAAUACCGCAUAAUGCCCUACGGGGAAAGCAGGGAUCGCAAGACCUUGCACUAUUGGAGCGGCCGAUACCGGAUUGGGCUAGUUGCGGGGGUAACGGCUCACCAAGGCGACGAUCCGGUAGCUGGUUUGAGAGGACGACCAGUCACACUGGGACCGAGACACGGCCCAGACUCCUACGGGAGGCAGCAGUGGGGAAUUUUGGACAAUGGGGAAACCCUGAUCCAGCCAUCCCGCGUGUGCGAUGAAGGCCUUCGGGUUAAAGCACUUUUACAGAAAGAAACGUCGUGGGUUAAUACCCCAGCGAAACUGACGGUACUGCAGAAUAAGCACCGGCUAACUACGCGCCAGCAGCCGCGAUAACACGUAGGUGCAAGCGUUAAUCGAACCAUUGGGCGCAAAGCGCGGGUGCGUCUGAAAGAAAGAUGUGAACCUAGAGCUGAACUUUGGAACUGGUACUUUUUAACUACCGGGCUAGAGCAGGUCAGAGGGAGGUGGAAUUCCGCGUGUAGCAGUGAAAUGGCGUAGAUAUGCGGAGGAACACCGAUGGCGAAGGCAGCCUCCUGGGAUAACACUGACGCUCAUGCACGAAAGCGUGGGGAGCAAACAGGAUUAGGAUACCCUGGUAGUCCACGCCCUAAAACGAUGUUUAAUCAGUUGUUGGGGCCUUCGGGCUCCCCAGCAGCGCUGAUCAGGUAGUUGACUGCCCAGGGAGAGCAUGGUCGCAAAGAUUUUCUAAAAACUCAAAGGAAUUGACGGGGACCCGCACAAGCGGUGGAUGAUGGGAUUAAUUCGAUGCAACGCGGAAAACCUUACCUACCUGACAUGUCUGGAAUGCCGAAGAGAUUUGGCAGUGCUCGCAAAGAGAACCGGAACACAGGUGCCGCAAGUGGCUGUCGUCAGCUCGUGUCGUGAGAUGUUGGGUUAAGUCCCGCAACGAGCGCAACCCUUGUCAUUAGUUGCUACGAAAGGGCACUCUAUCGAGACUGCCGGUGACAAACCGAGGAAGGUGGGGAUACGCCAAGUCCCGCGUCUUGCGGGUAGGCUCACACGUCAUACAAUGGUCGGGACAGAGGGUCGCCAACCCGCGAGGGGGAGCCAAUCCCAGAAACCGAUCGUAGUCCGAUCGUAGUCUGCAACUCGACUGCGUGAAGUCGGAAUCGCUAGUAAUCGCGGAUCACAUGCCGCGGUGAAUACGUUCUCCGGGUCUUGUACACACCGCCCGUCACACCAUGGGCGGGCUUUACCAGAAGUAGUUAGCCUAACCGCAGCAAAGGAUUACCGGUAGGAUUCAUGACUGGGGUGAAGUCGUAACAAGGUAG
rnacentral:rRNA from 1 species